rnacentral:rRNA from 1 species
GGGAUCUCGUACGUGACCUGCGGAGGGUCAUUACACAAAUAUGAAGGCGGGCUGGAACCUCUCGGGGUUACAGCCUUGCUGAAUUAUUCACCCUUGUCUUUUGCGUACUUCUUGUUUCCUUGGUGGGUUCGCCCACCACUAGGACAAACAUAAACCUUUUGUAAUUGCAAUCAGCGUCAGUAACAAAUUAAUAAUUACAACUUUCAACAACGGAUCUCUUGGUUCUGGCAUCGAUGAAGAACGCAGCGAAAUGCGAUAAGUAGUGUGAAUUGCAGAAUUCAGUGAAUCAUCGAAUCUUUGAACGCACAUUGCGCCCUUUGGUAUUCCAAAGGGCAUGCCUGUUCGAGCGUCAUUUGUACCCUCAAGCUUUGCUUGGUGUUGGGCGUCUUGUCUCUAGCUUUGCUGGAGACUCGCCUUAAAGUAAUUGGCAGCCGGCCUACUGGUUUCGGAGCGCAGCACAAGUCGCACUCUCUAUCAGCAAAGGUCUAGCAUCCAUUAAGCCUUUUUUUCAACUUUUGACCUCGGAUCAGGUAGGGAUACCCGCUGAACUUAA